UUAUGUCAACCUGAUAAGAAAGAUAAACUCUGGGAAACAUGUUUGGAUAAUAGAUAGAUAAAGGAUAACUGUCAGGUGUAAUUUUCGUAGUAUGGGAAUAUAUUGAAUUUAGGAGACGUUUUAGAUCUUCCUUUGAAACGUCAUUAAAAAUAAAGGAAAUGAUAACAAUAGAAGUAAGGCCCCAAGCAUUUCAAACUUAUAAAGAAAGAACCUACAAUGAACCAGAUUGUGACAAACCAAUGUAAAU
rnacentral:lncRNA from 1 species